UACGGAGGGGGCAAGCGUUGUUCGGAUUUACUGGGCGUAAAGGGUGUGUAGGCGGUUGCGCAAGUCUGGUGUGAAAUCUUCACCGCUUAACGGGAAGAGGUCACUGGAAACUGCGUAACUCGAGUGUGGUAGAGGCAAGCGGAAUUCCUGGUGUAGCGGUGGAAUGUGUAGAUAUCAGGAAGAACAUCUGUGGCGAAGGCGGCUUGCUGGGCCAUCACUGACGCUGAGACACGAAAGCGUGGGGAGCAAACGGG
rnacentral:rRNA from 1 species